GCCGGACCAAUCCUGUGAUUAAUGCAUGGAUACUGUCUUUCCUCAGCAGUUUCCAUAGCUCACUGAUACAUGG
rnacentral:snoRNA from 1 species